rnacentral:rRNA from 1 species
AUUGAACGCUGGCGGCAUGCCUUACACAUGCAAGUCGAACGGCAGCAUGAUCUAGCUUGCUAGAUUGAUGGCGAGUGGCGAACGGGUGAGUAAUACAUCGGAACGUGCCCUGUAGUGGGGGAUAACUAGUCGAAAGAUUAGCUAAUACCGCAUACGACCUGAGGGUGAAAGUGGGGGACCGCAAGGCCUCAUGCUAUAGGAGCGGCCGAUGUCUGAUUAGCUAGUUGGUGAGGUAAAGGCUCACCAAGGCGACGAUCAGUAGCUGGUCUGAGAGGACGAUCAGCCACACUGGGACUGAGACACGGCCCAGACUCCUACGGGAGGCAGCAGUGGGGAAUUUUGGACAAUGGGCGAAAGCCUGAUCCAGCAAUGCCGCGUGUGUGAAGAAGGCCUUCGGGUUGUAAAGCACUUUUGUCCGGGAAGAAAUGGCUCUGGUUAAUACCUGGGGUCGAUGACGGUACCGGAAGAAUAAGGACCGGCUAACUACGU